GAACACCAGUCAUCACAUAAAUUGUUGCAAAAUGGAACGAAACGUCAAAGGCGAACUUUAAGUAAUUGUGGCACCAAGGAACCAAGACGACGCAUAGAAGCACGUCUCGUGGAAUGGCAACCACAAGGCAAGUUAAAAAUUCAAGGUGGACGUAAAAUAAGACGUCUACAUCAUCAGCAGCCACAUUUCAAAUAUGAGACAACGACAGCGGAUGUAAAACAUCAGGAAUACCAUAAACAUCAAAUAAAAAAUCACCAACAACAGCA